rnacentral:rRNA from 1 species
AUGAUGGAGAAAGGAGCGGUCGAAAGCUGGACGUCGUCACCAGCUGUAACCAUGGUGGAAGAGCACAGUGAUGUCGUCCAUGGACACGAGGUACAACCUCAGCUAGCUCCCAUGGCAUCCUCCUCCCCGACCUCCUCAUCCUGGUCGCCGGAGAACCACCUCCUAACCAAGCCCACCCGCGUCCGAGCUCUCCGCAACAUAGCCCACGAGGGAGGCGACGACGACGACUACGUCUCGCCCUGGCGGGACGCCUCGCGGUCGCGGGUGCGCAGUGUCGAAGCCCUGAGAGCCAUCUGCAGGAAGUACUCCAUCCCCGACGGCUUCACCCCUCUCCUCGCCGGCGACCGGUCGGCGCGCGCGCCGCCGCCGCCAGGGUCCGUCUGCGUGUACAUUGAUGCGCUGGAGGCCGGGAUGCGCCUGCCCCUCCACCCCUUCUUCGGCGUGGUGCUCGACCACUUCGGGAUCGCCCCGGCCCAGCUCGCCCCCAACGGCUGGCGCGCCCUGGCGGGCUUCGUCGUGCUCUCCCACUUCGCCGGCACGCCGCCGUCGCUGCCCGUAUUCCGGCACUUCUUCUCGCUGGUCGCGUUCCCCCAUAAGCUCUACUCUCUCCGCGGCAAAGACGCCACCGGCGCCGGUUUGCUCUUCCGUCCGACGAAGGCCAAGAAUGCGGGGUGGAAGGAGGAGUUCUUCUUCAUGUCGUCACCGGCUGCGUCGCCGUGGCAGUGCCCUGUGCAGUGGGGUAGGCCAUUCAGGUCCGCCACCUCUGACCCGUCGCUCACCGGCCCGGAGAAGGCCGUGGCGGCGAGCCUGCUGCGCGCUCGAGGCGGUUGCCCGAUCGAUCUCACGGCGUAUCUCCGCGACAGCAACUUGGCCGCGGCCAAGAUCAUCGGGGCACUAUCACCGCCGCCGCCGACUCCUCAAGGUGAACUUCUGAAAAGAGCGGCGCACGCUCCAGCGGAGGAGUCCACGGUGAAGAGCGAGCCGGACUGCGUUGCGCCGUCGCCCAGUGCGCCGUCGUCUUCCCGAAAAGAAAAGAAGCGGAAGCUGCCGGAGCACCAUGCAAACGGCGAGAGCUCGGCGUCGGGAUAUCUCUCUUUCCCGCCGGGCUUCUACCCACAUCUCCGGAAAGCACGGACCACCACUACGACCACGAGCACACACGGGAAGCAAUGCCACGGCGGCGAAGAAGGGGACAGGAGCGGCUGGAAGGCGGCGAGGCAGCUGCUGCAGUGCAUCGUCACGCCGGAGCGGCAGCGCGAGCACGCGGCGUCCAGGCCGGCCGACGUCGUGGCGUCGAGCUACGUGUCCCUGCUCCAGACGGCGAACGAGGUGGCGUUCUCGCUUGGCUACGCUCUGGAGCUCGAGGAGAGGCUGAGGGACGCUGACGAGCUGCGGGCGGAGCUCCGCAAGGUGAAGGCCGAGCUCGCCGACACCAAGGCCAAGGCGGCGGCCGUGCGGGAGUCCCGGCGACCCAGGGCGCGCUGA